rnacentral:rRNA from 1 species
UUAAGCGACUAAGCGUACACGGUGGAUGCCCUGGCAGUCAGAGGCGAUGAAGGACGUGCUAAUCUGCGAAAAGCGUCGGUAAGGUGAUAUGAACCGUUACAGCCGGCGAUGUCCGAAUGGGGAAACCCAGUGUGAUUCGUCACACUAUCGUUAACUGAAUACAUAGGUUAACGAGGCGAACCGGGGGAACUGAAACAUCUAAGUACCCCGAGGAAAAGAAAUCAACCGAGAUUCCCCCAGUAGCGGCGAGCGAACGGGGAGCAGCCCAGAGUCUGAAUCAGCUUGUGUGUUAGUGGAACGGUCUGGAAAGUCCGACGGUACAGGGUGAUAGUCCCGUACACCAAAAUGCACAGGCUGUGAACUCGAAGAGUAGGGCGGGACACGUGGUAUCCUGUCUGAAUAUGGGGGGACCAUCCUCCAAGGCUAAAUACUCCUGACUGACCGAUAGUGAACCAGUACCGUGAGGGAAAGGCGAAAAGAACCCCGGCGAGGGGAGUGAAAAAGAACCUGAAACCGUGUACGUACAAGCAGUGGGAGCACCUUCGGGUGUGACUGCGUACCUUUUGUAUAAUGGGUCAGCGACUUAUAUUCUGUAGCAAGGUUAACCGUAUAGGGGAGCCGCAGGGAAACCGAGUCUUAACUGGGCGUUAAGUUGCAGGGUAUAGACCCGAAACCCGGUGAUCUAGCCAUGGGCAGGUUGAAGGUUGGGUAACACUAACUGGAGGACCGAACCGACUAAUGUUGAAAAAUUAGCGGAUGACUUGUGGCUGGGGGUGAAAGGCCAAUCAAACCGGGAGAUAGCUGGUUCUCCCCGAAAGCUAUUUAGGUAGCGCCUCGUGAACUCAUCUUCGGGGGUAGAGCACUGUUUCGGCUAGGGGGUCAUCCCGACUUACCAACCCGAUGCAAACUACGAAUACCGAAGAAUGUUAUCACGGGAGACACACGGCGGGUGCUAACGUCCGUCGUGAAGAGGGAAACAACCCAGACCGCCAGCUAAGGUCCCAAAGUCAUGGUUAAGUGGGGAAACGAUGUGGGAAGGCACAGACAGCCAGGAUGUUGGCUUAGAAGCAGCCAUCAUUUAAAGAAAGCGUAAUAGCUCACUGGUCGAGUCGGCCUGCGCGGAAGAUGUAACGGGGCUAAACCAUGCACCGAAGCUGCGGCAGCGACACUAUGUGUUGUUGGGUAGGGGAGCGUUCUGUAAGCCUGCGAAGGUGUGCUGUGAGGCAUGCUGGAGGUAUCAGAAGUGCGAAUGCUGACAUAAGUAACGAUAAAGCGGGUGAAAAGCCCGCUCGCCGGAAGACCAAGGGUUCCUGUCCAACGUUAAUCGGGGCAGGGUGAGUCGACCCCUAAGGCGAGGCCGAAAGGCGUAGUCGAUGGGAAACAGGUUAAUAUUCCUGUACUUGGUGUUACUGCGAAGGGGGGACGGAGAAGGCUAUGUUAGCCGGGCGACGGUUGUCCCGGUUUAAGCAUGUAGGCUGAUUGUCCAGGCAAAUCCGGAUAAUCAAGGCUGAGGUGUGAUGACGAGGCACUACGGUGCUGAAGUAACAAAUGCCCUGCUUCCAGGAAAAGCCUCUAAGCAUCAGGUAACAUCAAAUCGUACCCCAAACCGACACAGGUGGUCAGGUAGAGAAUACCAAGGCGCUUGAGAGAACUCGGGUGAAGGAACUAGGCAAAAUGGUGCCGUAACUUCGGGAGAAGGCACGCUGGUGUGUAGGUGAAGUCCCUGCGGAUGGAGCUGAGACCAGUCGAAGAUACCAGCUGGCUGCAACUGUUUAUUAAAAACACAGCACUGUGCAAACACGAAAGUGGACGUAUACGGUGUGACGCCUGCCCGGUGCCGGAAGGUUAAUUGAUGGGGUUAUCCGUAAGGAGAAGCUCUUGAUCGAAGCCCCGGUAAACGGCGGCCGUAACUAUAACGGUCCUAAGGUAGCGAAAUUCCUUGUCGGGUAAGUUCCGACCUGCACGAAUGGCGUAAUGAUGGCCAGGCUGUCUCCACCCGAGACUCAGUGAAAUUGAACUCGCUGUGAAGAUGCAGUGUACCCGCGGCAAGACGGAAAGACCCCGUGAACCUUUACUAUAGCUUGACACUGAACAUUGAGCCUUGAUGUGUAGGAUAGGUGGGAGGCUUUGAAGCGUGGACGCCAGUCUGCGUGGAGCCAACCUUGAAAUACCACCCUUUAAUGUUUGAUGUUCUAACGUUGGCCCCUGACCGGGGUUGCGGACAGUGUCUGGUGGGUAGUUUGACUGGGGCGGUCUCCUCCCAAAGCGUAACGGAGGAGCACGAAGGUUAGCUAAUCCUGGUCGGACAUCAGGAGGUUAGUGCAAUGGCAUAAGCUAGCUUGACUGCGAGCGUGACGGCGCGAGCAGGUGCGAAAGCAGGUCAUAGUGAUCCGGUGGUUCUGAAUGGAAGGGCCAUCGCUCAACGGAUAAAAGGUACUCCGGGGAUAACAGGCUGAUACCGCCCAAGAGUUCAUAUCGACGGCGGUGUUUGGCACCUCGAUGUCGGCUCAUCACAUCCUGGGGCUGAAGUAGGUCCCAAGGGUAUGGCUGUUCGCCAUUUAAAGUGGUACGCGAGCUGGGUUUAGAACGUCGUGAGACAGUUCGGUCCCUAUCUGCCGUGGGCGCUGGAGAAUUGAGGGGGGCUGCUCCUAGUACGAGAGGACCGGAGUGGACGCAUCACUGGUGUUCGGGUUGUCAUGCCAAUGGCACUGCCCGGUAGCUAAAUGCGGAAGAGAUAAGUGCUGAAAGCAUCUAAGCACGAAACUUGCCCCGAGAUGAGUUCUCCCUGAGACUUUAAGUCUCCUGAAGGAACGUUAAAGACGAUGACGUUGAUAGGCCGGGUGUGUAAGCGCAGCGAUGCGUUGAGCUAACCGGUACUAAUGAACCGUGAGGCUUAACCUU